AACGAACGCUGGCGGCGUGCCUAACACAUGCAAGUCGAGCGCGAAAGGAGCAAUCCGAGUAGAGCGGCGAACGGGUGCGUAACACGUGACCAACCUGCCCUCGUGUGGGGGAUAGCCGGGCUAACGCCCGGGUAAUACCGCAUACGCUCUUGUGGGGGAGUCCCUGCGGGAGGAAAGCUCCGGCGCACGGGGAGGGGGUCGCGGCCUAUCAGCUAGUUGGGGGGGUAAUGGCCCACCAAGGCGACGACGGGUAGCUGGUCUGAGAGGAUGGCCAGCCACAUUGGGACUGAGAGACGGCCCAGACUCCUACGGGAGGCAGCAGUGGGGAAUCUUGCGCAAUGGCCGAAAGGCUGACGCAGCGACGCCGCGUGUGGGAGGACGCCUUUCGGGGUGUAAACCACUGUUGCCCGGGACGAACAGCCUGUUUCGACAGGUCUGACGGUACCGGGUGAGGAAGCACCGGCUAACUCCGUG
rnacentral:rRNA from 1 species